ACAAUCUCCGAGAUAGAUGCCUGAUGGAUGCCCAUGUAUGUGUUGUUUGCAGGAUGAGCUCACCUCAAAAGCAUUAAUAUCUAGUGAACAUAAAAGCUGUGUUAGGUUGUGAAGUGGAUGACCAACCUCAUCAACCAGGGUUAUUGCUGAGCCGCCAAUGUCGUUUGAUCAGCCAGCCAUGUCCUAAAUGAACCAGGGAUCACAAAGAAAUUUUUGUGUUUUGUCCCCACCGGGACUUGAAACUGGGACCUCCGGAAUGUCAGCCACUGGACCACAUAGGCCGAGAGUACAUGGUUAAGUUGCUGUUUUAUUUCAACUAUUUAAUUAAAUGUAGGAAUAUUUUGUAUGAGUAUGAAUUAUAUAA